rnacentral:rRNA from 1 species
GCAGUAGCCACGGGAAAACGGAGGGGGCUAGCGUUGUUCGGAAUUACUGGGCGUAAAGCGCACGUAGGCGGCUUGGUAAGUUAGAGGUGAAAGCCUGGAGCUCAACUCCAGAAUUGCCUUUAAGACUGCCGAGCUAGCAGGUGAGAGAGGUAAGUGGAAUUCCGAGUGUAGAGGUGAAAUUCGUAGAUAUUCGGAAGAACACCAGUGGCGAAGGCGGCUUACUGGCUCAUACUGGACGCUGAGGUGCGAAAGCGUGGGGAGCAAACAGGAUUAGAUACCCGUGUAGUCCCUGUCUCUUAUAC